rnacentral:rRNA from 1 species
AGCGAACGCUGGCGGCAUGCUUAACACAUGCAGGUCGCACGGUCGGGGGUAACUCGGCAGUGGCGGACGGGUGAGUAACGCGUAGGUAUCUAUCCUUGGGUGGGGGACAACUGCGGGAAACUGCAGCUAAUACCGCAUGAUGCUUGAGGGCCAAAGGCGCGAGUCGCCUGGGGAGGAGCCUGCGUACGAUUAGCUUGUUGGUGGGGUAAAGGCCUACCAAGGCGACGANCGUUAGCUGGUCUGAGAGGAUGAUCAGCCACACUGGGACUGAGACACGGCCCAGACUCCUACGGGAGGCAGCAGGUGGGGAAUAUUGGACAAUGGGCGAAAGCCUGAUCCAGCAAUGCCGCGUGGGUGAAG